CGGAGGGGGUCUAGUCGUUGUUCGGAAUUACUGGGCGUAAAGCGUCACGUAGGCGGCGAUUUAAGUCAGAGGUGAAAGCCCGGGGCUCAACCCCGGAACAGCCUUUGAGACUGGAUUGCUUGAGCAUCGGAGAGGUGAGUGGAAUUCCGAGUGUAGAGGUGAAAUUCGUAGAUAUUCGGAAGAACACCAGUGGCGAAGGCGGCUCACUGGACGAUUGUUGACGCUGAGGUGCGAAAGCGUGGGGGAGCAAACAGGAUUAGAUACCCUGGUAGUCCACGCCGUAAACGAUGAUAACUAGCUGCUGGGGCUCAUGGAGUUUCGGUGGCGCAGCUAACGCAUUAAGUUAUCCGCCUGGGGAGUACGGUCGCAAGAUUA
rnacentral:rRNA from 1 species